ACGGCUGACGAGCUCCACCUGCCCGGGUUUGUUGUUCGGAGUUUGCUCUCCUAGGUGUAUUGCCUACCACGGCUGACGAGCUCCACCUGCCCGGGUUUGUUGUUCGGAGUUUGCUCUCCUAGGUGAAUUGCCUACCACGGCUAACGAGCCUCACCUGCCCGGGUUUGUUUAGAGUUUGCUCUCCUAGGUGAACUGCCUCCCACGGCUAACGAGCCUCACCUGCCCGGGUUUGUUUAGAGUUUGCUCUCCUAGGUGAAUUGCCUACCACGGCUAACGACCUCCACCUGCCCGGGUUUGUUUAGAGUUUGCUCUCCUAGGUGAAUUGCCUACCACGGCUAACGACCUCCACCUGCCCGGGUUUGUUUAGAGUUUGCUCUCCUAGGUGAAUUGCCUUCCACGGCUUACGAGCCUCACCUGCCCGGGUUUGUAGCCGGAAGAUCUCCGGCACCUCCGUCGGGGCCCGGAGGGACGCCGAGGAGCCCUGCCUGGAGCCCUCCAUUCCUGCUAUGCUCGCCAGGGAGACCUUGGGCUCGCUGGCACUCCACACCCCCGCCGAGGCGAGGAUGCAAGAACUCGCUUCUUAAAACUACCAGACUGGAUUAUAAAAUUAAUCAUAAUUACUGUGAAGGCGCCGGUCACCGCGUUUAUCGGUUCAGGGAUGGAAGACCGACGGGCCUGGGAAACGCGCACAAGCAUCCAAAGGAAUCCUCGCGACGGCUUGCGACGCAGCAUCCAUUUCCCUUUUCUUUCUCAUUCCAAUUUUUCUUUUUUAUUAUAUUUUCCUUCUCUGAUUGAUUGAUGGAUUGAUUUUACUUGGUAGGAAUCUGCUCACCAAUUAACACCAUUCAGGUGUACAUUGCACCCACA